CACGUAGUUAGCCGGAGCUUCCUCCUCUGCUACCGUCAUCAUCUUCACAGAGGACAGAGGUUUACAAUCCGAAAACCGUCUUCCCUCGCGCGGCGUUGCUGGUUCAGGGUUUCCCCCAUUGACCAAUAUCCCUUACUGCUGCCUCCCGUAGGAGUCUGGGCCGUGUCUCAGUCCCAAUGUGGCCGUCCAACCUCUCAGUCCGGCUACCGAUCGUCGGCUUGGUGGGCCGUUACCCCACCAACUACCUAAUCGGACGCGAGCCCAUCUUUCAGCGGAUUGCUCCUUUGAUUAUCCUACCAUGCGAUAAGAUAAUGUCAUGCGGUAUUAGCGUUCGUUUCCAAACGUUAUCCCCCUCUGAAAGGCAGGUUGCUCACGCGUUACUCACCCGUCCGCCACUAAGAUAUCCAAGAUUCAUUUACCGAAGUACUUCAUCAGCGAAUAUCUCCGUUCGACUUGCAUGUAUUAGGCACGCCGCCAGCGUUCGUCCUGAGCCAGGAUCGAAACUCUA
rnacentral:rRNA from 1 species